AAACAUGUCUUUUUGAGUUAAUUUUAAAGUCUAACCUGCCCACUGAAUAUUUGAAUGGCCGCAGUAUUUUAACUGUGCAAAGGUAGCAUAAUCAUUAGUCUUUUAAUUGAAGGCUGGUAUGAAUGGUUGGACGAAGUAUAAACUGUUUCAUAUAAAUUUAUAAUAGAAUUUUAUAUUUUAGUUAAAAAGCUAAAAUAUUAUUAAAAGACGAGAAGACCCUAUAAAUCUUUAUAUUUAUUUUUAUUUAAAUUUUUUGGAUAUAUUUUAUUUUUAUAAUUAUAAAUAUUUUAUUGGGGUGAUAUUAAAAUUUAAUAAACUUUUAAUUAUAAAAAUUCAUUAAUUUAUGAUUUAUUGAUCCAUUAAUAUUGAUUAUAAGAUUAAGUUACUUUAGGGAUAACAGCGUAAUUUUUUUAGAGAGUUCUUAUUGAUAAAAAAGUUUGCGACCUCGAUGUUGGAUUAAGAUAUAUUUUUAGGUGUAGCUGCUUAAAUAUUAAGUCUGUUCGACUUUUAAAUUCUUACAUGAUC
rnacentral:rRNA from 1 species